rnacentral:lncRNA from 1 species
UUCUCCUUUGCUCUCUUUAUAGAAAUGAUUGUAUCAAUUUAAGAAUGUUAUUCUUCCACACUUAAGAAUUAGUUUCACAAGUUCCUCCAAAGACUUUAUACACAGUUGACCCUUGAACAGCACAACAGGACUGCAGUUGUGCACUUCUAUGUAGAUUCUGUUCAACAAAGCACCGAUGGAAAAUACAGCAUUUACAAGAUGAGAAACCCGAGUACACAGAGGAUCAAUCUUUGGUAUAACACGAGUUCCACAAGGCUAACUGUGGCAUUUGGAUACUAUGACUCAUUUAUUCAGAAGUCGCUUGGUUACCUAUGUGUUUGGCGUGGGGCUGGACUACCAGCUUGGACUAACUUAGAAAACUGGGAAAAGAACCAACUUGCCUCAAAAACAAUUUCUCCUCUUUCUCUUUAUCCUUUUUCCUCUAUUUAGACUGCUACAUUAAUAAUGAACCUAAGCUACAGAUAAACAGAAUUCAAUCACUGUGGCCAAAAGACAGGAACUUAGCUGUGGUCAGUCUCCCACAUCUGAUGUCCUCGUGGUAGAGUUCAGGGUUAGAGACUAAGCUGAAAGGAAGGAUGGGACUAGGAAGAAUUGCAUAAUCAGACCUGCCAUAUCCACACACAAAUGGCCAAGUCCAGCCAGAAAUCUUCACAGCUGUUUGAAUAAUAAAGUGGAUAAAUGAGAAGAGGCUUCAGUAAGUUAGAUCAAGCAAGUUCUCAGUACCCAGAGCUAUACUGGGAAAAGCCGUUAGAUAAUGAUAACCAAAUGUAUUUUCCUUGACUGUUCUAUAGGAUUCAGGAGUGUUACUAAAUUGUGCCUCCAAAUCUUAAAAAUAAAAGCCUCAAAAUCUAUG